GCAAAAAUGAAUGGGAAAGGAACCAUUCUGGGCCUUGAACAGAUGCUUGGGGAUAUGAAUAAAGUCAUGUGAAGCUGGCCCAGACUCAAAGCAGACAGACUGGCCCUGCAUGUCAACCACGAAAGAAACUGCUAUGAAAACUGAUUGGAAAAGCAUGAACAGGACCAUCUCUCCCCAGUGGUGUCUACCAGUCCUGUGAGAUCCAGGAGAGGCAUGCUCCAGGUCCUGUCCACAAUCAUGUCACCUGGUGUCACCUGGUGGGGCCCAGGAAGAGAGCCUCUGGAACAUCAUUCUCACAGAGAUUAGACUUGCCCUGACCCUGGUGGCCUUUUGCAUAGCAUGGAAAACCUAGCUUUGCCAUCAAGCCUGGGGCCCUUAUAGAAUGGGUGAGCCCAUUUCUUGAUCUUCAUUAUGUUAAUUAAGUGUUCUUGGCUGCUAUGUUAUUUUAGGUUA